rnacentral:rRNA from 1 species
AGGGUGUAAACGCUGCAGACUUGGUGUUGGGAACCCUUCGGGGGUGCUCAGUGCCGGAGAGAAGUUGUUAAGUCUGCUACUUGGGGAGUACGUCCGCAAGGAUGAAACUUAAAGGAAUUGGCGGGGGGAGGCACCGCAACGGGAGGAGCGUGCGGUUUAAUUGGAUUCAACGCCGGACAUCUCACCGGAUAAGACAGCUGAAUGAUUGUCAAUCUGAAGGUUUUACAUGACUAGCUGAGAGGUGGUGCAUGGCGUCAGUGACU